UAUGUGCCAUAACACGCCUUGAGACAUGGGGUUUGGGGUCCACCUACCGGGCACUGAACUAACAAAAAGUGAUCUGGAUGACCGCAGCGAUCUGCUUUCUAAUGUCUAAGUAGAUAUUUAGAAAGAACAAAAGAAGACCUUUCCAACGGUGUAAUUUUCAGGUACAACGGUUGGCCGUACACCCCCCUUCUACUGGGAGCGUGCACCUGCCUAGUAAUAGUAUCAUAGUACUACAUUACUAUAUAUAGUACUAUUUCUUACUAUACUAUGCUAUUUGGGUUUUCAAAUAUAGUAUUCUUGCCAACCAUAAUUAUAUUAUAUUAUAUUACCGUAUUGACGCAAUCUUUUUGCGACGCGAUUAGUUUGCGAGCCCAGAACAUUUUUAAAAUUUGGAUAUGGAAACACUAUUAUUUUGCGAGGCCCCGCUCGGAGUUUAUUUAGAAACUUUUGAAAUUUGCGAGCUCGUGAGCCAUAUAUGAAAGUUUGCGAACUCGCAUCUUAUCGUCAGCGUUGUCAACGAAUAGGCAUCGUAAUGUACUAAAGGAAACGACCAACUUUAGGCGCGCCUUUGUGACGCACCGUACUUUACACCUGCCAAAGCGGACAAAGGCACAUAACUAGGCAGGCGGCUGGCAGAGGUUAAGGCCUGACUUCUGCUCCCGGUCGACCCGGGGGUCAAAUCCGCCUGCCGACCUCUCGGGUGUUUGAGAGGUGGUGAAAUGGGAGGUGGCCCCCCAUCUUGUGGACGGUGUAGGACGUGAUAAAAUCAACUUGCGAGCUGACCAGGAACUAAGUUGAGGCGCCGUUGAUCCGCUAGAUUUGGUUGGAUGCUGGUGGUGAGUUGCCAAACUCAAAGAGUACACUCUGAAGUCGGAUGGGGUGAAUGGCUUAGGGUGCCCCUCUAGCAGGGGAGAGCAGGGAAUUGCCUCGGGAAGGAGGCCACUGGUGAAGCUUAACCACCCUGUAACAACAUCAACCAGCUAUCCUUAGCCCAAUAUCAGCCAGCCACAUUGAUCAAUGUUAUCGGUUGUAAUUGAGCUCGCGAGCCACGUCUGGCGGUCUGGUCUGGUAAGAGCUGCAAACGGCCGGCUGUAUUUAUUUAUUUUUGCGAGAACAUUUUGC
rnacentral:lncRNA from 1 species